rnacentral:lncRNA from 1 species
CGGUUUUAGGACCUCGAGCAGGAUUUGUUGAUCGAUUUCCCUAUCAGAUGGCUCAAAAGUCACUUUAAAAUAAAAUUUAUCUUAUUUUUAUCGCUUUAAAUUUUGUUUCUCAAUUUAUUCAAUUUAAUUAAGAUAAUUAUUUGAAUUAGCUGCUGUGGUUAAACAUUCCGUUAAUCCACAGAUGAAUUGCUGACAUGACAUAUUAGCCAAUUGAGUGGCGAUAUGUGACAUUUUUUAAGUUUUGGUUAAAGCUUAGGGACCUCUAUCUAAUUAAUCCAAAACACUUUUUUUUCUCUCUUUCUCUGCACCUACCGCUUACUUACGAUUAAAGAAGAAGAAGAAGCAGAGAACGAAACUUUCAAGCUAGAGCUUGUUACCAAAUUGAUUGAUCGUUUCAAUCAAGGAUUUGCAAUAAAUUAUUUCAUCAAUGAGAAACCAUAAACUAUAUAACACUAUCUAUUUUUCUUUUCCCAGUACGAGUUAAAUUUAUGCAAGAAAUUAAUAGAGCAUUUGAAUAUAUAUAUAUAUAUAUAUAUAGACUUGAGCCAUAAACUAUGGAAGGAAAUUGAUAAAUCAGGAAAAACACAAUAUUGGUUUAUAAUUAAAAAGGGGGGGGGGGGGAGGGGGGAAUUGGGGGAUAAUUUACCAUCAAUUCUUAAAUACAAAGUGUCGUUGAAUUUUGCAGUGUUCUUUUGGUUGAAAGUAUUUGGAAGAAUUCAGGAAAUUCCAGCACAAGCUUAAGAGAAUAAGAGAAAGUUUGUUGCUUCAAAGCUUCAUCUUCUUAUAAAAUGCCAAUAAUAUACAGCACAAGAAGUCUCCUACUUUUCUUUUUCUUUUUUCUUUUUUUUUUGGAUGCUGCAACUGCUUCACUUUCACCGCUCGUUCAUAAGAAAUUUAACAUGGAAUUGGUUACUAAAGAGACACCUCCUCAGAGUAAAAAGAUGAUACUAUCGGCCGCAGAGCAACCUACCCAGAAGAGAUAAUUAUCCAUACCCAGGGAAAGUUUUUUUUUUCUUCUUUUUCUCUGUUCUUUCUCUCUGUAAUUAAUCCAUUUCUGAGGUACAACGAGAGGAGAAAGAAAGAAAAAAAUUAGAUUAAUUACAUAAAGGUCCCUAAG